rnacentral:rRNA from 1 species
CGGCGUGCCUAAUACAUGCAAGUCGAACGGUCUUUCUAUGGAAGCUUGCUUCCACUGAGAAGAUAGUGGCGAACGGGUGAGUAACACGUGGGUAACCUGCCCAUAAGAGGGGGAUAACAUCCGGAAACGGGUGCUAAUACCGCAUAGUUUUCUUGAUCGCAUGAUCGGGAAAGGAAAGACGGCCUUUGUGCUGUCGCUUAUGGAUGGACCCGCGGCGUAUUAGUUAGUUGGUGAGGUAACGGCUCACCAAGACGAUGAUACGUAGCCGACCUGAGAGGGUGAUCGGCCACAUUGGGACUGAGACACGGCCCAAACUCCUACGGGAGGCAGCAGUAGGGAAUCUUCCGCAAUGGACGAAAGUCUGACGGAGCAACGCCGCGUGAGUGAAGAAAGGUUUUCGGAUCGUAAAACUCUGUUGUCAGAGAAGAACAAGUUGGAGAGUAACUGCUCCAGCCUUGACGGUAUCUGACCAGAAAGCCACGGCUAACUACGUGCCAGCAGCCGC